UACGUAGGGGGCAAGCGUUGUCCGGAAUGAUUGGGCGUAAAGGGCGCGUAGGCGGCUCGGUAAGUCUGGAGUGAAAUUCCUGCUUUCAAGGUGGGAACUGCUUUGGAUACUGUCGGGCUUGAGUGCAGGAGAGGUAAGUGGAAUUCCCGGUGUAGCGGUGAAAUGCGUAGAGAUCGGGAGGAACACCAGUGGCGAAGGCGACUUACUGGACUGUAACUGACGCUGAGGCGCGAAAGUGUGGGGAGCAAAC
rnacentral:rRNA from 1 species